rnacentral:rRNA from 1 species
GAUGAACGCUGGCGGCGUGCCUAAUACAUGCAAGUCGAGCGAACGGACGAGAAGCUUGCUUUUCUGAUGUUAGCGGCGGACGGGUGAGUAACACGUGGAUAACCUACCUAUAAGACUGGGAUAACUUCGGGAAACCGGAGCUAAUACCGGAUAAUAUUUUGAACCGCAUGGUUCAAAAGUGAAAGACGGUCUUGCUGUCACUUAUAGAUGGAUCCGCGCUGCAUUAGCUAGUUGGUAAGGUAACGGCUUACCAAGGCAACGAUGCAUAGCCGACCUGAGAGGGUGAUCGGCCACACUGGAACUGAGACACGGUCCAGACUCCUAUGGGAGGCAGCAGUAGGGAAUCUUCCGCAAUGGGCGAAAGCCCGACGGAGCAACGCCGCGUGAGUGAUGAAGGUCUUCGGAUCGUAAAACUCUGUUAUUAGGGAAGAACAUAUGUGUAAGUAACUGUGCACAUCUUGACGGUACCUAAUCAGAAAGCCACGGCUAACUACGUG